UACGGAGGGUGCAAGCGUUGCUCGGAAUUAUUGGGCGUAAAGGGUAGGUAGGUGGUCUCAUUUGUCUGGGGUGAAAGCCUUGAGCUUAACUCAAGAAGUGCCCCAGAAACGGUGAGACUGGAGUCUUGGAGAGGGUCGUGGAAUUCCCGGUGUAGCGGUGAAAUGCGUAGAGAUCGGGAGGAACACCAGAGGCGAAGGCGGCGACCUGGACAAGUACUGACACUCAACUACGAAAGCGUGGGGAGCAAACAGG
rnacentral:rRNA from 1 species